GGGAAGGAUGGACUUGGGAACUUAUACAAUUAAAACAAAAGGCGGAAGACCUAGAGUCAAGUGUUUGUGGAUCAAGUCAGCAAAUGCUUGGACCCUGCCCAGGUGGCUCCCAGCAGAGUUUCUCAUCAAAAGUUGAAUCUCUCACCAUAUUGGCGUGGAUUGUUCUUCUAGAAAUUAACAACGAUGAAGAAAUGACAACAUAUCAUCUCUACUCAUUAAAUAUUACUUCUUUCUCACUUCUGUCUCCUGCUCCUGUGGAGGGGGGACCAUGUACAAACAGCAGUCUCCAACACAAUGCUUCAGCGUUAAAAGCAGUACUGACAGUAUUAACAGGUAUGGAAAAGUGCUGAUGCAUUAUGCUCCUUACCUCAUCUCGGCUACUAGAAAGCCUUGGGCCCCCACCUAUAUGACACGUGAUGUACUUGAUCCUAUCACUGACCACCAAGGCCACGCCCUCUCUACCCUGCCCCAGCUUUGUACACAAUAAAAGUCAGAGUGUGCAGACUCGGGGCCACGGCCGGACUCCGCACUUUGGUUAGCAGUGGACCCCUGGGCCCAGACUCUCUUUUCUCUGUCUCUGUGACUUGUGUCUUUUAUUUCUAGUUUCUUGUCUCCACACCAGCAGAGAGGGGCUCAAAGGACCCUGCAGGGCUGGACCCUACAGGUACACCAGGUUGCCGUCUGCAUUUUCCCUGUUACUUCACUGGCAUGACAGUGACCACAGGGUAUAUGUGCUCGUGUGAUUAUCUGGCUGAUCCUUGUCCUUCCCAGUAGGCGCUGAGUUCCAUCAAAUCAGGGCCCAUUCCUAGAUUUGCAGUCCUGGCACAGCUCCCAGCACCCAACAAGUGUUCAGUAGACAACAGUGGCAUUACCCGUCUGUAAACAUGUCAUGAGACACUGGGUGAAUGUUGGGCAGAACUCCACAGCAUUUGAGUCCAGAGGUUCCCAGGGAGGCCCAGGCUCCAUACAGGGUCAAUCAGCAUCUGGCCCUGGCUUUAGGCUCAGGCCCUGGUCCAGGCUGGGUCCCCCAGCACUCCCUGAUAGUUCAUUGUGAGCCCUGGCUUUCCUAGGGGCCACCAGCUCUCAUCCGAUGUCACUCACUUUGAGCAGUGUGCAUCUUGCCAGGAUCAUGUGGUCUCUAUUUUCUUCCCAGACCCGGCCUUCCCGGCGGGCUCCGAGUGGCUGGGCCUGCCGGACGCUGCGACUCUUGGAGAGCUUCCUGUUUCUGUGAAGAUGCUCAGGCUACGGCUUUAUGUUCUUCAUCCAGCUGUCCAAGGACAAUUUGGGAAAGAUCUCAAGUCCAUAUCAAGGCCUAAUCUGGCUCUAUCCACAUGACUUCUGUUGGAAUCCGAGAGCUGGACUCAAUGGAGGGUCCAGCCACCACCCAGAAUGAUCGGGUCAUUUUCCAGAUGAGGGACCUAUGUCUGGAAGAGCUCAGCAACUCCCGUGGGUUGUCUGGGAAAUUACUGCCAGAGCUGGGUUUGAAAUUUGCUUUCCUGACUCUUGUAAACUUCUUGAUGGUAUGGAUUUUAUCUGAGUCAUCAAGAAAGGUAUUUUAGAGCCAAAGGGACCUAAGAAAUAAUUGUGUUUCUUCCUCUCCUUACAGAAGAAGACAAUGGAGCUGAGAGACGUUCAGUUACUUGGUCCAAUUACAAAUAUGCGAGCUUCAAACUGGGCUCAGUCUAGAUCGAUCUUUCUCCACGGCCAGUGCUCUUGGACCACCGAGAAUUACCUGUUCCUGCUUCUACCACGGUUCUCAUUCCCACUCCCUCUGCCCCAUCAUUUCUACCCUACACUAUGCUUGGGCUCUGGACUCAACCCUGCCGGGAGCUCUUUCCAACACGCAACACACACUGAGACCUGCCCUCUGGAGCUUAUCCAGGAGCCAAGAAAACAAGA